rnacentral:lncRNA from 1 species
GAAAGAUGCAUAUGUUUAGGACAUAAAGACGAUAUUAUGAGAAAGUGAAAAUAUUAAAAUUAGUGCCAGUAAAAAAAACAAUACUGACUUGUUGCAAUAAACCCAGUAAAUAAAAACCGGCCUGCUUAAUCAUGUAGUGCGUGUGUUAAUUUCUUCCAUUCUGUCACUUUUCCUCCAGUGAAACCCUGCGUGUUUAAACACGUCUCUCUCCAGCUCAGCAUUGUCUCAGAAUGGCUCAGUACAACACAGAGGCUACAACUAGAUUUCUACAUGAACUCUGUAAGAAAACCUUGAGAA